GACGUAGGGGGCCAGCGUUGUUCGGAAUUACUGGGUGUAAAGGGUUCGUAGGCGGUGUGGCAAGUUGGGAGUGAAAUCUCUGGGCUCAACCCAGAGGCUGCUUCCAAAACUGCUGUGCUUGAGUGUGGGAGAGGCGCGUGGAAUUGCAGGUGUAGCGGUGAAAUGCGUAGAUAUCGUAAGGAAGACCAGUGGCGAAGGCGGGUCUCUGGACAGUUCCUGACGCUGAGGCACGAAGGCCAGGGAGCAAACGGG
rnacentral:rRNA from 1 species